CAUGUUUUGCUUCCACCAUUUAAUCUGCUACGUAUAAAUUCGGCCGACGGCAAUUGUCGGUCAUUUGGGAACCUCUUCUUUGAGCUAUGAGAGUUGUACUCUGCGUCCAACCCACUGUAAGUGUAACAAGGAUUACUGAACUGGAUGAACACUAAUUGCCCUAAAAUUGGCUUCUUGUUAAAAGUUGAUGAUGAUAUCUAUGUCAAUAUUUACAAUCUUGCAAAGAUUGUCGAAUCCUACCACAAAUCGGGCAAUUUCUCUAUUUUCGGACGCAGUCCUAAUUCGGGAUUUCCUUCUCACCAUUACAACAACUUUGGACCAGUAAGAGGUGUGGACUAAAAGAUUUAGAUGAAAUUAAUGGACUUGUAAGAUUACCAAAACCCUGUCAGUAUGAAAUGACAUUCGACGCUUGGCCAUGGAAUUCGUAUCCUGAUUACAUAAGUGGACCAGUCUAUUUGAUACACGGAAGUUCAAUCCUCCCUUCAAUACCGACAGCAUGUAUGCUCCUCCGCCAUUUGAUGACGAAUGUGAUGCAUGGAAAUACCUCGCAUGGGACGAUUGGCUAUCACCGCUGUCCCAUAAACAGAUCGACAACUUUUACCGGGGUUCAACCAACAAGUCAUGCGACAGGCCCAAUGCUUCCAUCAAGUUCAAUUUCAGAAGCAAUUAUUCUACUUUUCCUUGAACAAGUGUAACUGUGUAAGCGCAUAGACCUACAACUUACUGCUGAUGUAGUAAAGGUUUACCCGGUUUACCUCGCCUAUCCGACAAGAA